AGAUAGGAGAGCCACAGGGAGAAAGACAAGGAGCAGACUCUGUCCCACAUAGCUGGGAGCUGGUGGUGCACGUGUGUGUGUGUGUGUGUGUGUGUGUGUGUGUGUGUGUGUGUGUGCUUGUGCGUAUGCACUGUAUAUGUACAUGUAUGUGAUGACACACCAGCACACUCACAGUUUUAAAGCAUCCGUGUUGUACUAGGACGUCAGCCUAAAGCACCACAUGGCCCAAACACAGGUGGCCUCAGAGCCUAAACACAGGUGGCCUCAGAGCCCAAACACAGGUGGCCUCAGAGCCUAAACACAGGUGGC